rnacentral:rRNA from 1 species
AGAGUUUGAUCCUGGCUCAGAUUGAUUUCUGGCGGCAGGCCUAACACAUGCAAGUCGAGCGGUAGAGAGAAGCUUGCUUCUCUUGAGAGCGGCGGACGGGUGAGUAAUGCCUAGGAAUCUGCCUGGUAGUGGGGGAUAACGUUCGGAAACGGACGCUAAUACCGCAUACGUCCUACGGGAGAAAGCAGGGGACCUUCGGGCCUUGCGCUAUCAGAUGAGCCUAGGUCGGAUUAGCUAGUUGGUGAGGUAAUGGCUCACCAAGGCGACGAUCCGUAACUGGUCUGAGAGGAUGAUCAGUCACACUGGAACUGAGACACGGUCCAGACUCCUACGGGAGGCAGCAGUGGGGAAUAUUGGACAAUGGGCGAAAGCCUGAUCCAGCCAUGCCGCGUGUGUGAAGAAGGUCUUCGGAUUGUAAAGCACUUUAAGUUGGGAGGAAGGGCAGUAAAUUAAUACUUUGCUGUUUUGACGUUACCGACAGAAUAAGCACCGGCUAACUCUGUGCCAGCAGCCGCGGUAAUACAGAGGGUGCAAGCGUUAAUCGGAAUUACUGGGCGUAAAGCGCGCGUAGGUGGUUUGUUAAGUUGGAUGUGAAAUCCCCGGGCUCAACCUGGGAACUGCAUUCAAAACUGACUGACUAGAGUAUGGUAGAGGGUGGUGGAAUUUCCUGUGUAGCGGUGAAAUGCGUAGAUAUAGGAAGGAACACCAGUGGCGAAGGCGACCACCUGGACUAAUACUGACACUGAGGUGCGAAAGCGUGGGGAGUAAACAGGAUUAGAUACCCUGGUAGUCCACGCCGUAAACGAUGUCAACUAGCCGUUGGAAGCCUUGAGCUUUUAGUGGCGCAGCUAACGCAUUAAGUUGACCGCCUGGGGAGUACGGCCGCAAGGUUAAAACUCAAAUGAAUUGACGGGGGCCCGCACAAGCGGUGGAGCAUGUGGUUUAAUUCGAAGCAACGCGAAGAACCUUACCAGGCCUUGACAUCCAAUGAACUUUCUAGAGAUAGAUUGGUGCCUUCGGGAACAUUGAGACAGGUGCUGCAUGGCUGUCGUCAGCUCGUGUCGUGAGAUGUUGGGUUAAGUCCCGUAACGAGCGCAACCCUUGUCCUUAGUUACCAGCACGUAAUGGUGGGCACUCUAAGGAGACUGCCGGUGACAAACCGGAGGAAGGUGGGGAUGACGUCAAGUCAUCAUGGCCCUUACGGCCUGGGCUACACACGUGCUACAAUGGUCGGUACAGAGGGUUGCCAAGCCGCGAGGUGGAGCUAAUCCCAUAAAACCGAUCGUAGUCCGGAUCGCAGUCUGCAACUCGACUGCGUGAAGUCGGAAUCGCUAGUAAUCGCGAAUCAGAAUGUCGCGGUGAAUACGUUCCCGGGCCUUGCACAAAACGCCCGUC